CCUCUGCCUUUUGCUCAGGUCAUGGUCCCAGGGUCCUAGGAUCAAGCCCCGUGUCAGGCUCUCUGCUUGGCGGGGAGCCUGCUUCCCCCUCUCUCUCUCUGCCUGCCUCUCUGCCUAUUGUGAUCUCUGUCUGUCAAAUAAAUAAAUAAAAGCUUAAAAAAAAAGAUAUACUACAAAGUUAUAGUAUCAAAACAGUAUAAUAUUGACAUAAAAACAAAUAGACCAAUGGAACAGAGUUGAGAGCCCAGCCCAAAUAUAUAUAGGACAACUAAUAUUUUACAAGGGAACCAUGAACACUCAUAGAGAAAAGAUGAUCUCUUCACUCGUGCUGGGAUAAUAGGAUAUUCACAUAUAAUAGAAUGAAACCGGACCCAUCUCUUAAACAACUCAUAAAAAAAUGUGUUGAAAUGGAUUGAAGACUUAAAUGUAUGACCUGAAACUAUGAAACUCCUAGAAGAAGACAUAGGGGAAAAGCUCUUUGACAUUGGUCUUGGUAGAUAUGACACCUAAAACACAUGUAAUGAAAUAAAAAAUAAACAAGUAGCACUACAUCGAAUUAAAAGGCUUCUGCACAACAAAAGAAACCAUCAACAAAGUAAAAAGACAACCUACAGAAUGGGAAAAGAUAGUUGCAAGCCAUAUAUUCUGAGAAGAGGUUAAU
rnacentral:lncRNA from 1 species